rnacentral:rRNA from 1 species
GUAGGGAAUAUUGGGCAAUGGUCGGAAGACUGACCCAGCCAUGCCGCGUGCAGGAAGACGGCCCUCUGGGUUGUAAACUGCUUUUAUCUGGGAAGAAAAAGGCCAUGCGUGGCAAAUUGCCGGUACCAGAUGAAUAAGCACCGGCUAACUCCGUGCCAGCAGCCGCGGUAAUACGGAGGGUGCGAGCGUUGUCCGGAUUUAUUGGGUUUAAAGGGUGGGUAGGCGGCUGAUUAAGUCAGCGGUGAAAGACUUCGGCUUAACCGGAGCAGUGCCGUUGAUACUGGUUGGCUUGAGUGUCGGAGGGGUACAUGGAAUUGAUGGUGUAGCGGUGAAAUGCAUAGAUACCAUCAGGAACACCGAUAGCGAAGGCAUUGUACUGGCCGACAACUGACGCUGAUGCACGAAAGUGUGGGGAUCGAACAGGAUUAGAUACCCUGGUAGUCC